AUGACAAAAAGCAACCUUGCAGGAAUGGAGGAAUCUGGCCAGAGCUGUGCCCCUGCUUGCCACAGGAGCUGCGCGGGAGGAGAAGAAUGUGGGCCAAAAGGAAUGGAGGAAUCUGGCCAGAGCUGUGCCCCUGCUUGCCACAGGAGCUGCGCGGGAGGAGAAGAAUGUGGGCCAAAAGGAAUGGAGGAAUCUGGCCAGAGCUGUGCCCCUGCUUGCCACAGGAGCUGCGCGGGAGGAGAAGAAUGUGGGCCAAAAGGUAAGAGGAGCUCCUUUGGGUUCUGGGCUUGAAGCAAAGCUGAGAAGCCAUGCCCGGGAGGAGGUGUGGGUAGCUACAGGCCACCUUGCUAUCUCCCCAGGAGAUGAGGUGUGUGGGCUAGGCACCGGGCAGGAGUGCUGGCCAGAAGCAAGCAUCUCUGUGGAGGAGGCAAAGGGCGGAGGAGGUUCAAGGGUAGCUACCGGGCAUGGCCUUGCUCAGCAAGGGGAGGAAAAGCCUGAAGGGCACGAGAAGGGGACAGAGAAGGGCAGGCAGUAGGCGUGAAGCUGUGAGCAGAGUAGAGAGCAACUUGGCGGAGCAGCAAGCAGAGUAGGCAAGUGCUGAGGUUUGGCGUGAGUAGCAGCAAAAGCCCAUAGCAUCAAGAAGCAGGAAGUGAGGAGAAGGUAAGUGAAGGGCAGGCAAGGUAAUGGGAGCAGAGGCAAGGGGAAAGGGGAGGGUAAGGGAGAAAGAGGGGAUGGGGAGGGGAGGGGAUGGGUGAAGAGCAGAGCGGAGGGAAGGGCUGAGGGGAGGGCUGAAGGCAAACCAAUGAUGAAAAAAGAAAAGAAAAAAUAAGAACAAAAAAUAUGAAAUAAGAGAAAAAUAAAAAGAAAAAUAAGAAAAAGAGAAAAAAGAAAAAAGAAAAAUGAACAAAAAGGAAAAAGAAAAGAAAAAAUGAACAAAAAAGAGGAAAAAAGAGAAAAAGAAAAAAAAUGAACAAAAAAGAGAAAAAGAGAAAAGAAAAAAAUGAACAAAAAAGAGAAAAAAAGGAAAAAAAAGCCUAAAAAAAGAAAAAAGAUAAAGAAAAAGAAAAAAGAGAAAAUAGAAAUAAAAAAGAGGACAGAAAAAUAUGAAAAAAAGAAAAAAGAAAAAAAGAAAAGAAAAAAAUAAUAGAUGAAAAAAGAGAAAACGAAAGGAAAAUGGUUAAUGCAAGAGAAGAAAGGUAAGAGAAAAGAAGAAAACAGCCAAGUCAAAAAGUAAAGAAUAACUCGAAGGAAGGAGUGGAUGGCAAGAAAUACAGGGAAAGCAAUGCAUAGCACAGCAAAGCAAAGCAAGGCAAAUAGCAGCCAAAGCCACGAGAAUCAAGAAGUCAGUGAAGAGCAGGAAAGGUAAGUUUCCCUUAAAGCAAGGGGGAAUGGUAGUGGAUGGGGGCAAAAGAGAGGGAGGGGAGGGAGGGGAAGUGAGGAGUGGGGGGAGAGGGGGAGAGCAGUGGGGGAAAGCGGUGGGGCUAGAGGGGGGUGAGGGGUGCAAGAGGGGCGGGAGGGAGGAAGGGUGGAGAGGGGGAGAGUGAGGGGGGUGAGUAAGUGGGGGCGUGGGUGGAUGGGGGGGGGAGAGGAGAGAGGGUAGGAAGGAAAAAAUUGGAGGUAGGGUGAGGGAAGGGGGAGGGUUGAAGGGAAAAUAAUGAACAGAGGAAAAAGAGAAUAACAA
rnacentral:lncRNA from 7 species